GAUGAACGCUAGCUACAGGCUUAACACAUGCAAGUCGAGGGGAAACGACAUCGAAAGCUUGCUUUUGAUGGGCGUCGACCGGCGCACGGGUGAGUAACGCGUAUCCAACCUGCCCACCACUUGGGGAUAACCUUGCGAAAGUAAGACUAAUACCCGAUGAUAUCUCUAGACGACAUCUGAAAGGGAUUAAAGAUUUAUCGGUGAUGGAUGGGGAUGCGUCUGAUUAGCUUGUUGGCGGGGUAACGGCCCACCAAGGCAACGAUCAGUAGGGGUUCUGAGAGGAAGGUCCCCCACAUUGGAACUGAGACACGGUCCAAACUCCUACGGGAGGCAGCAGUGAGGAAUAUUGGUCAAUGGGCGAGAGCCUGAACCAGCCAAGUAGCGUGCAGGACGACGGCCCUAUGGGUUGUAAACUGCUUUUAUAAGGGAAUAAAGUGAGCUACGUGUAGCUUUUUGCAUGUACCUUAUGAAUAAGGACCGGCUAAUUCCGUGCCAGCAGCCGC
rnacentral:rRNA from 1 species